CUACGUGCCAGCAGCCGCGGUAAUACGUAGGUCCCGAGCGUUGUCCGGAUUUAUUGGGCGUAAAGCGAGCGCAGGCGGUUAGAUAAGUCUGAAGUUAAAGGCUGUGGCUUAACCAUAGUACGCUUUGGAAACUGUUUAACUUGAGUGCAAGAGGGGAGAGUGGAAUUCCAUGUGUAGCGGUGAAAUGCGUAGAUAUAUGGAGGAACACCGGUGGCGAAAGCGGCUCUCUGGCUUGUAACUGACGCUGAGGCUCGAAAGUGUGGGGAGCAAACAGGAUUAGAUACCCUGGUAGUCCACGCCGUAAACGAUGAGUGCUAGGUGUUAGACCCUUUCCGGGGUUUAGUGCCGUAGCUAACGCAUUAAGCACUCCGCCUGGGGAGUACGACCGCAAGGUUGAAACUCAAAGGAAUUGACGGGGGCCCGCACAAGCGGUGGAGCAUGUGGUUUAAUUCGAAGCAACGCGAAGAACCUUACCAGGUCUUGACAUCCCUCUGACCGCUCUAGAGAUAGAGCUUUC
rnacentral:rRNA from 1 species